rnacentral:rRNA from 1 species
GAUGAACGCUAGCGAUAGGCUUAACACAUGCAAGUCGAGCGGCAGCACAAGGUAGCUUGCUGUCUGGGUGGCGACAGGCGCACGGGUUCGUAACGCGUAUGCAACUUGCCCUAUACAGGAGGAUAACCCGUCGAACGACUGACUAAUACUGCGUGUGCUCACAACUUGGCAUCAAGUGGUGAGGAAAGAAAUUCGGGAUAGGAUGGGCAUGCGUCCCCUUAGCUUGGUGGUGAGGUAACGGCACACCAAGGCAACGAUGGGCAGGGGAAAGGAGAGGUUUAUCCCCCAGAAUGGAACUGCGACACGGACCAGACUCCUACGGGAGGCAGCAGUGAGUAAGACUGGUCGAGGAACGCGGACCUGAACCAGCCAAGUCGCGUGAAGGAUGCCUGUCUUAGGGAUUGUAAACUUCUUUUGUACAGGAAUAACAAGAGUCACGGGUGACUUCUUGAAGGUACCGUAUGAAUAAGCAUCGGCUAACUCCGUG